rnacentral:rRNA from 1 species
UGGGGAUAUUGCACAAUGGGGGAAACCCGUGAUGCAGCGACGCCGCGUGGGUGAAGAAGCGCCUCGGCGCGUAAAGCCCUGUCAGCAGGGAAGAAAAUGACGGUACCUGAAGAAGAAGCCCCGGCUAACUACGUGCC